UACAGAGGGGGCAAGCGUUGUUCGGAAUUACUGGGCGUAAAGGGCGCGUAGGCGGCCUUCUAAGUCGAACGUGAAAUCCCUGGGCUCAACCCAGGAACUGCGUCCGAUACUGGAAGGCUUGAAUCCGGGAGAGGGAUGCGGAAUUCCAGGUGUAGCGGUGAAAUGCGUAGAUAUCGGGAGGAACAUCAGUGGCGAAGGCGGCUACCUGGCCCAAUACUGACACUCAGGUGCGACAGCGUGGGGAGCAAACAGG
rnacentral:rRNA from 1 species